GACGAACGCUGGCGGCGUGCUUAACACAUGCAAGUCGAACGGUAAGGCUCCAGCUUGCUGGGGUACACGAGUGGCGAACGGGUGAGUAACACGUGGGUGACCUACCCUGCACUUCGGGAUAAGCCUGGGAAACUGGGUCUAAUACCGGAUAGGACCGCACCGUGAGGGUGUGGUGGAAAGUUUUUUCGGUGUGGGAUGGGCCCGCGGCCUAUCAGCUUGUUGGUGGGGUAAUGGCCUCCCAAGGCGGCGACGGGUAGCCGGCCUGAGAGGGUGGACGGCCACAUUGGGACUGAGACACGGCCCAGACUCCUACGGGAGGCAGCAGUGGGGAAUAUUGCACAAUGGGCGGAAGCCUGAUGCAGCGACGCCGCGUGGGGGAUGACGGCCUUCGGGUUGUAAACUCCUUUCACCAUCGACGAAGGGUUUCUGACGGUAGAUGGAGAAGAAGCACCGGCUAACUACGUG
rnacentral:rRNA from 1 species